UCAAUAAACAGUGUGAGUACUUAAAACAAAUCAAAUUAUUGUCGAAAAUCUUCAAUUCAAGCCCAGGAACGGCAUAUCGAUUGAGAAAGAAGGUUUUAUAACCUGUGGUGUGGUAACAUCUCCAUCGGUCAGUCGAUGUCAGGAGUCAUUUAUCAUAACUAAUGCUAUUAGAAAAUCUUGCUCGUUGGAUACAGAUUUGUGUUAAACCGCCGGAAGAAAUGAAGGAUGAAAUAAGGACAUGUACACACGCGAGAUGCCGCUCUUUGAUCAGUCAUAUGCGAGGCGUGGACAUCGGAUACGGCGUCAGCUGAGUCCCGCGUGGUCUCGCUCACGACGCACUGGCUGCGCUUGGUUGAGCACAUGCCGAGCUCGUGACAAGUCCAUCUGACACAUGGAAAAAGAUUUUGUUAUCGUUCCAGCUAGGAAAGUGAUUUUCCUAUCUAUACGAUAUAAUAAGCCGAAACUUAAUAAGAAAAAAGCUUCUGUUCCCACAUAAAU